rnacentral:sRNA from 1 species
UUGGAUUCGCUGGUGGCGGCUUCAGACUCCUCCGGUCUUCCCCAUCUCCCGCCAAGAGCGAUGGUCAUCAUCUCGUAGAUCUUGCCACCCAACUCAGCUGGGCUGUCAGGCUGGAUGAUGCAAAUGAAGAAACAUGAGGAAAUAGCAACAUUCAUAGGCAUGUGGCAAGGUAUAAGAACUAGCAGGGUACAGUAACUCUUACACUCAAGUCCUUGACAAUUGGGUGGUCGGGGUUGAUUUCAAAAAUUCUUCUUCCUCUCAUGAACUCUAAGCUUGAAGUAUCACCAAGUGUUUGUGCCUUCAUAAGCCUUACCUUUCCAUGUUUGCUGACCAACCAAAUUUGCCAGAUACAAGAACACAUGGCGAAGAGCUAAGCCGGUUUGAUAUCUGAACCUUGGCAACUUUGUCACCAAGCUGUUGCUUUAUCCAGUCACAUAGAAGAGUGUAUUCCUGCUUGCUCUCAUUUUCCUUCCAACCGCAUCAAAAUUCCAUUACCCAAUUCCAGGUCUUCUUUGCUGAUAUCAACAAAUUUUUUCUCUUUGUAUGUCUGUAAAUUCUGAAUGGCAACCUCAUCAAUCGGCUCGAUAAGGUAGAACUUCAAUGUCUUUUUGAACCAACUUUUCCAAGAAAGGAGCAGUCUUUGCACUCUGAAGACUGUCUGUAGCAAUGUAGUAGAUUGCCUUUUGGUUUUCUGGCAUGUUCUCUACAUACUGAUCAAGACUUAUCAAAUCUGUCUCAUUUUUGGAAGAGUAAAACCGCAACAGAGGAGCAAGGCGUUUGUGAUUU